rnacentral:rRNA from 1 species
GAUGAACGCUAGCGGCAGGCCUAACACAUGCAAGUCGAGGGGUAACUAGAGUGAUAGCAAUAUUACUUUGGCUAGACCGGCGCACGGGUGCGUAGCACGUAUGCAACCUACCUUAUACUGGGGAAUAACUUCGAGAAAUCGGCGCUAAUACCCCAUAACAUUGCGAAGAGGCAUCUCUUUGCAAUUAAAGCUCCGGCGGUAUAAGAUGGGCAUGCGUCCAAUUAGCUAGUUGGUGAGGUAACGGCUCACCAAGGCUACGAUUGGUAGGGGUUCUGAGGGGAUGAUCCCCCACACUGGUACUGAGACACGGACCAGACUCCUACGGGAGGCAGCAGUGAGGAAUAUUGCGCAAUGGACGAAAGUCUGACGCAGCCAUGCCGCGUGCAGGAUGACGGCCCUAUGGGUUGUAAACUGCUUUUGUACGGGAAUAAACCCUUCUACGUGUAGGAGGCUGAAGGUACCGUAAGAAUAAGCACCGGCUAACUCCGUGCCAGCAGCCGCCGUAAGAC